GAUGAACGCUGGCGGCGUGCCUAAUACAUGCAAGUCGAACGAGGUGCUUGAGUAGCAAUACGAGAGUAUCCUAGUGGCGAACGGGUGAGUAACGCGUUGGUGACCUACCCCAAAGUGUGGGAUAACAGUCCGAAAGGAUUGCUAAUACCGCAUGUGGUCUUCGGGUUUAGAAACCGAUGACUAAAGGAGCAAUUCGCUUUGGGAGGGACCUGCGUCCCAUCAGCUAGUUGGUGAGGUAACGGCUCACCAAGGCUACGACGGGUAGGGGACCGUGAGAGGGUGACCCC
rnacentral:rRNA from 1 species